CCGGCGGUUCUGGUCGCUGCAGUCCCCCGAGGAGGUCGGCCGGCUGGACGAGCCCGCGGGCAUCUUCGACGAGCUCCCGCCCCGGGACAAGAAGCGCGAUUUCUCCGAGUCGGCAACCUGGUACAUGCCAGACAUGAUGGUCCAGCUCCAGCUAUUCUUGCACUUGGUUGCUGCAUGAAAAACAUAACGGCAUUUUCUCUUUUGUGAAAUGGAAAGACAAUAGUAACUCAUCAAAAGCUAAAGAGACAUACUUGAACAAGCUUAUUGUUUGAACUCAUUUGAGGGUACUUGAGUGCAGUCCAGUCAAAUACAUAAUCGAAUUGGUAUCCUACAAUAUAGCUCAAUAAUGAGACCCAGUUUUAAAACAUGGUUCUUGGAAUGGACGAGAAUAACAAGCUGGCCACAUUAGUUACUCAGAAGAAAGAAGGGAGCGACAAUAGUGGAAAUAUGAGACGAACUCUGAUGGGUAAGAUUUGCACAAAACCUGGUUGAUACAAUUUUUUCAAAUGCAUGCAAGAGUUACCAUAACAGAAUUACAAGCUUCAUGUUGGCAAAAAUCAGUACCUCCGCUGAGCAGUUAAACAAGUCUUCCAAGCUUGGGCCAAGAAGAUCGAUCACCAUAACGUUGUACUCCCCCUCGACACCGUACCACUUCAGGUUCCUGACAGAUCAAACCGGAGAAAUUGUAAGAUUUUGAACUAAGCAUUUCAACUCCCAAGUUUAAAAGGGCAUAUUCAGAUUCCGGACAAGAGAAAUAUCAUAUUAAAUGCAAAGAUUAUAUA